rnacentral:rRNA from 1 species
CCUACGGGUGGCAGCAGUGAGGAAUAUUGGUCAAUGGACGAGAGUCUGAACCAGCCAAGUAGCGUGAAGGAUGACUGCCCUAUGGGUUGUAGACUUCUUUUAUGAAGGAAUAAAACGAUGCACGUGUGCCUUUUUGCAUGUACUUUAUGAAUAAGGAUCGGUUAACUCCGUGCCAGCAGCCGCGGUAAUACGGAGGAUCCGAGCGUUAUCCGGAUGUAUGGGGUUUAAAGGGAGCGUAGAUGGGUUGUUAAGUCAGUGGUAAAAAUGCGGUGCCAAACGCCGUCGAGCCGUUGAAACUGGCGUUCUUGAGUGGGCGAGAAGUAUGCGGAAUGCGUGGUGUAGCGGUGAAAUGCAUAGAUAUCACGCAGAACUCCGAUUGCGAAGGCAGCAUACCGGCGCCCUACUGACGCUGAGGCACGAAAGCGUGGGUAUCGAACAGGAUUAGAUACCCUGGUAGUC